UCAAGUCAAUAUCGCUUCCUUUUUCGUGGAGUGUUCCCUUCCCGUGAAACCCUCUCCCUCUCCCUCUCCGAGCUCUCCCCCCUCUCUUCCCGUCGGUGAUCGCGUCUCCAUCACCAUCCAAUGCGGGCUUCCACUCUCGCGGGGAUCCACCGUCGUGGGCUUCUACCAUAGGCUUCCACCAUCUCUGGCUUCUACCUUGGGCUUCCACAG
rnacentral:lncRNA from 1 species